AUUUGUUUAAUAUAUUAGUAUAUUUUGACUUCCAAUCAAAAAGUCUGGAAAAUUCAGAACAAAUA
rnacentral:tRNA from 1 species